rnacentral:precursor_RNA from 13 species
GAAGUUUGACCACUGCUGACCGUGAGUGACUGUAAACAUCCUCGACUGGAAGCUGGGAGGCCAGAAUGGGCUUUCAGUCGGAUGUUUGCAGCUGCUUACCGCCUCUGACUUCAAGGAGCCAC